UACGAGGGGGGCAAGCGUUGUUCGGAAUUAUUGGGCGUAAAGGGCGCGUAGGCGGUGCGGUAAGUGACCUGUGAAAACUCUGGGCUCAACUCAGAGCCUGCAGGCGAAACUGCCGUGCUGGAGUGUGGGAGAGGUGCGUGGAAUUCCCGGUGUAGCGGUGAAAUGCGUAGAUAUCAGGAGGAACACCGGUGGCGAAGGCGGGUCUCUGGGCCGUAACUGACGCUGAGGAGCGAAAGCGUGGGGAGCGAACAGG
rnacentral:rRNA from 1 species